rnacentral:rRNA from 2 species
UGGUAAUGCCGGAUGUUCCAGUUGAUCGCAUGGUCUUCUGGGAAAGCUUUCGCGGUAUGGGAUGGGGUCGCGUCCUAUCAGCUUGACGGCGGGGUAACGGCCCACCGUGGCUUCGACGGGUAGCCGGCCUGAGAGGGCGACCGGCCACAUUGGGACUGAGAUACGGCCCAGACUCCUACGGGAGGCAGCAGUGGGGAAUAUUGCACAAUGGGCGCAAGCCUGAUGCAGCGACGCCGCGUGAGGGAUGGAGGCCUUCGGGUUGUAAACCUCUUUUAUCGGGGAGCAAGCGAGAGUGAGUUUACCCGUUGAAUAAGCACCGGCUAACUACGUGCCAGCAGCCGCGGUAAUACGUAGGGUGCAAGCGUUAUCCGGAAUUAUUGGGCGUAAAGGGCUCGUAGGCGGUUCGUCGCGUCCGGUGUGAAAGUCCAUCGCUUAACGGUGGAUCCGCGCCGGGUACGGGCGGGCUUGAGUGCGGUAGGGGAGACUGGAAUUCCCGGUGUAACGGUGGAAUGUGUAGAUAUCGG